AUGAAUGUCACAAAGAUGCUUCUGAUGGGGGAUGUUGAUGUCAAUGAAACCGACCCGGAAGGAAACACAGCACUUCACUGCUGCCUCAGUAGUAGCUCAAGCACACAAGAGCCAAGGUCUGAGUGGCUCCUGCUGAAGAAUGGUGCCGGAGUUUUCCAGGGGAACAAACUACGUCUCACACCAGUGCACGGCGAUGCAGCUAAGAUCAAUUACAAGGCUGUUCAGAGUUCAAGUGAAGAGGCAGGGAACAUCUCCAGGAAGUUGGCCUCUUCCUUGACCUACUGCAGAGUGGUAGCAAUUUUUCUGCUACUUCUGCUACUGUCUUUCUCGCCAGCAUCUGCGACAUGUGACAGGGAAGGUGCCUGGAAAAUAGCAGUGAAUUGUCUCGGCACCAGCCAACCCUCUUCACCACCAGCGGCACGCCUAGAGCCCCCGCCUCCACCAACAACUACCGUCGAGCUACCGCCGCCUCCACCAGCGGCAGAGCCCCCGCCUCCACCUGCAGCAAAUCUUGAGGUGCCACCGCCGCCGCCUCCAGCCGGGGCCGCCAUCCCGCCGCCUCCACCAGCGACAAUGGUCGAGUCGCCGGCGCCUCCAGCAGGAGCCGCUGUGGUGGUGCCGGCGCCUCCAGCCGGGACAGCGGUGGUGCUGCCGUCGCCUGAAGCCGGGGUUAUCACGUCGGGGAACACCAAAGAGGGCCACCUCUAUAAGGCUGUGUUCGGUUGGCAUGGUUUUGAAGGGGUUUGGCAGGGAUUAAAUCCCAUACAAGUCAAAUCCCUGCCAAAACCACUCCAAUCCCCUUGA
rnacentral:rRNA from 1 species